GGUUGAGCAGUGCAGGGUUGAAGGCAUAUAUAGGAGCACAGGUGAGCUGAUUAGGAGGACUCAGGUGUGGGGGCACAAACUGUUCUUACCAACAGCAGACAACAACAGGCAGGAAAGACAGGAGAACAUAUGGCACAAUGUCACCACAAUAAUCCAUGGAUCACUCCCUCAAACCUGUUUAGUAGUGACAAUAAAUGUGAACAUUUGAAGGUGAAGAUUGCCACUACAUCUCAAGUAAGAACGGUGCUCUUCGAGUGAAAAGGACAAGAAGAAGAACACUGAAGGACAUCAAAAGGCCGCAAGAGGACGAAUUCUGCCUUGGCCACGCAGCUGCUCAUCAGCCAGGGUGAUUGGAAACACCUGCCAGCUCUAUAGGCCUCAUUUCCCACAAUGCCCUCUGGCCGCGCUCACCAGGAAACUGCAGCAACUGAGAGUUUUACGCCAGGGUGGAAAACAUCAGCCGGAUGGAACAGGCCAAACGACAAUUACACUAGGCCUUUUUACGCCUUCCUUUUAGGAAAAUGUUCUGUGUUUAAAGGCCUACUGAAACCCACUACUACCCACCACGCAGUCUGAUAGUUUAUAUAUCAAUGAUGAAAUCUUAACAUUGCAACACAUGCCAAUACGGCCGGUUUAGUUUACCAAAUUGCGAUUUUAAAUUUCCCGCCAAGUAUCCUGUUGAAAACGUUGCGGUAUGAUGACGCGUACGCGUGAAAUCACGGAUUGUAGCGGACAUUUUGUUCCAGCCCGAUAACAGCUAUAAGUCGUUUGCUUUAAUCGCAUAAUUACACAGAAUCUUUUGCAAUUUGUUCAAUAAAUAAUGGAGACGUCAAAGAAGAAAGAUGUAGGUGGGAGGCGGUGUAUUGCGGCCGCCUUUAGCAACACAAACACAGCCGGUGUUUUCUUGUUUACAUUCCCAAAGGUGAAGCUUUACUAUGGAACAGAGCGGUCAAGCGAACAUGGUUCCCUACCACAUGUCAACCGGCAGGUUUCGGCGAUAAAAUUUUGGUAAUAGGUCGGCUCUUACCGUAGACAUGAGCGGAACUUGCGCCGUUCCUCGUGCACCUUUCAAAGAGGCAGUUGCGAACUCUCUUGCCUCCUCCGACCGGCCGCCCCCGAAAGUGGGAUGCUUCCACCGUGGAGGAGGGGAAAUAAAAGCUCAGCCCGGCCCGACCGGCUGCCUUCGCUUCGCCUAGUCAAGAAACGUUGCUUCCCUCAGAGACACUGGCGGUCACCACACCUGUGGUCACACCCCUCCGACU